rnacentral:rRNA from 1 species
CCCUUAGAUGUUCUGGGCCGCACGCGCGCUACACUGACGAAGUCAGCGAGCAUGUCCUACGCCGACAGGUGCGGGGAAUCUUGUCAAACUUCGUCGUGAUGGGGAUUGAUUAUUGAAAUUCUUGAUCAUCAACGAGGAAUUCCUAGUAAGCGCAAGUCAGCAGCUUGCGUUGAUUACGUCCCUGCCCUUUGUACACACCGCCCGUCGCUACUACCGAUUGAAUGGUUUAGUGAGAUCUUCGGAUUGGCGCCACUGCGGCUCAGCAAUGGGCUCGGUGGAUGCCGAAAAGUUGAUCAAACUUGAUCAUUUUGAGGAAGUAAAAGUCGUAACA